GCCAGUGUGGUUUAGUUGGCUAUAACGUGUUCGAUACGGUGGUAGCUCGCACCGCCCGUCGAGCAGGACCCGAGUUCGAUCCUCGGCGCUGACC